rnacentral:rRNA from 1 species
GACGGAGGAUGCAAGUGUUAUCCGGAAUCACUGGGCGUAAAGCGUCUGUAGGUGGUUUAAAAAGUCUAUUGUUAAAAAUUGAAGCUUAACUUCAAAGAUGCAAUGGAAACUUUUAAACUUGAGUAUGGUAGGGGUAGAGGGAAUUUCCAGUGGAGCGGUGAAAUGCGUAGAUAUUGGAAAGACCACCAAUGGCGAAAGCACUCUGCUGGGCCGACACUGACACUGAGAGACGAAAGCUAGGGGAGCGAAUGGG